rnacentral:rRNA from 1 species
GACGAACGCUGGCGGCGUGCUUAACACAUGCAAGUCGAACGGUAAGGCCCUUCGGGGUACACGAGUGGCGAACGAGUGAGUAACACGUGGGUGAUCUGCCCUGCACUUCGGGAUAAGCCUGUGCAACUGGGUCUAAUACCGGAUAGGACUCCGGACUGCAUGGUCUGGGGUGGAAAGCUUUUGCGGUGUGGGAUGGGCCCGCGGCCUAUCAGCUUGUUGGUGGGGUGCUGGCCUACCAAGGCGACGACGGGUAGUCGGCCUGGGAGGGUGACCGGCGGCACUGGGACAGAGAGACGGCCCAGACUCCUACGGGAGGCAGCAGUGGGGAAUAUGGCGCAAUGGGCGCAAGCCUGAUGCAGCGACGCCGCGUGAGGGAUGACGGCCUUCGGGUGGUAAACCGCUUUCAGCACAGACGAAGCGCAAGUGACGGUAUGUGCAGAAGAAGGACCGGCCAACUACGUGCCAGCAGCCGCAGUAA